UCUUUAUACAUGAUUGUUAGCUGCUGU
rnacentral:piRNA from 1 species